rnacentral:rRNA from 1 species
GUUCACGCUGUGACCGAUGAAUAUUGAUCAUUGGAAAUAACUUUUCAGUGGUUAAGCUAACGCGUUAAAUAUUCCACCUGGGGACUAUAAUCGCAAGAUUGAAACUCAAAGAAAUUGACUGAGAUUUGUACAAGCGGUGGAGCAUGUGGUUUAAUUCGAUAUAAAUCGAUAAAUCUUACCAAUUUUGAAAUGCAAUUAAUUUAAGAAAAUAUUAUAUUAAAUUAUUUUAUUUUUAUUUGUCACAGGUGUUGCAUGGCUGUCGU